CCUCCUCAACUUUUUUGGUGGGGUGGGGGGUAGUGCUGCCACUGUCAGGGAAGCCCCAUGGGGGUGCCUGUGGUGGUGAGAGGCCUGCACCUGUUUGGAGGGAAAACCUCAACCCUGGAUUCGCCUAAGGCCUGCCUUGCAUCAGAGAUGUGCUGGCUCUUUUCUUUUCAUUGGAUCCCAGAGCUGUCUGUCUCUGGAAGAGUGGGAAAGCCUUCCUCCUCUUUAAUCAAUAUAAAAUAGAGGCCAAUAACCCCACCAUUUUGUCACCAGUACAGUCGUAAGUCGCCAGCAACCAGGCACCAUGUCACCAGCUGCUACUAGUGUUCAGAACGGGAAAAGCUGCCGAGAUAAUGCUCUCUCAGCCAAGGAUCUACCUACUGCUAGACUAAGUUGUGUCCUAGAGAAUGGGCUGUAGUGACCAGUCUCCGCCACCAUCUAAAGAGUUAACAGGAAGUGAACCUUUCUCUUGACUGAUAGGCUGGUGAACUCCAGGGCUCAAUCAAUCAGUACACCAGAAUUCUUGAGAAGCUUCCAUUUGAUUUCAGAGUGAUGAUACUUUAGGACCAGUUCUGCCUGUGUGCUUGCUUCUUUACCCCUGAACUGCCAGCUCAGCUUGUACUCUUGUGAAUAAAGAGAUGGUUAUGAAGAC